UAGGUGCAGAAGAUACAUAAAUGUACUUUUCCCAAGUGUUUUGGAAUACUACCAGUUUGGGAUCAUUCUAAAUUAAGUUCUUUGCUUGAGAUCUUAAGAACUAUUCAGUUAAUGUGAGAAGAAACAUCAGAAGCAGCUGAGGCACAAGGAAGUGGGUCCUCUAGGGAUGAGGAAAUAUUCUGCUAGAUGACCUUAAAAAAUGUUUCUUCCAGAGACUUUUGCCUCAUUUACAAUGUCUUUUUUUGUCCUAUAAGCCUCUCUUUGAUUUUAUAAACUGACAUAAUUUCUUGUUGUUAUGAGUGUACACUGCUCUAGUCGUUCAAUAAACCCAUCACACAUU
rnacentral:lncRNA from 1 species